rnacentral:rRNA from 1 species
CCAUGACAGGAGAAUACCAGAAGUAGACACUGAAAUAAUACUGUUAGUAUUGUUUUUACAGCUUAUGAAUAUGGAAUUAAAUUCACAUAAAUGGUUACAAAAUCAUCUUCUCAGCAGGGGGACUAUAAAAUUCAAAAUACCUUAUUUAGAAAGUGACCAUAAAAUGGUAUCUUGCGAAAAUCUGACACAGUUCGAACUUGUCAAAUAAAUCCCGUCGGACGGUUUAGUCAAUAUGUCAGAUUUGAUCUGGUGCUGAUCGGCCGCAGAUGACUUGGUGAUUUAUACUGAGGGGAAGCUUGUAUUCACCGUACAAGAGAACGUUCAAUCCGCACUUAACGAUAUCAAUACUGGUUUUCUGACCAGUGGGUUUCCAAUCUCCGUAAACAAGACGAUUGCUGUUCUUUUUCAGUAAGUUCCUUGGUUCCUGAAAAAACUCCCAAUAAAGUGGCACUUCCGGUGAAUGGAUUUUGCGCGACCUUAAACAAUUAAGUGCCAGUUGUUCGUUCACUUAACCUUGUAAAAAUGGUCAGCAACACCAAUCGCGGAGCAAAUCGGAUUAGCGUGUUGGCUCGGUAUCGAACAUUGGUAAGAAAGAUCUAAAUUACGAGAUUCAUAGACUAUGGGUGUAACGCUUAUAAUUCCGCAAGUAAUAAUUCGCUCAACAUGCUAAACUCUGUCCAUAACGCAGCUCACGGGUAACGGGGAAUCAGGGUUCGAUUCCGGAGAGGGAGCCUGAGAAACGGCUACCACAUCCAAGGAAGGCAGCAGGCACGCAAAUUACCCACUCCCGGCACGGGGAGGUAGUGACAAUGUGGACUGGCGGGGGCAUUCGUAUUGCGACGUUAGAGGUGAAAUUCUUGGAUCGUCGCAAGACGCACUAGAGCGAAAGCAUUUGCCAAGUAUGUCUUAAUUGAUCAAGAACGAAAGUUAGAGGUUCGAAGGCGAUCAGAUACCGCCCUAGUUCUAACCAUAAACGAUGCCAGCCAGCGAUCCGCCGAUGUUCCUUUAAUGACUCGGCGGGGAGCUUCCACCCGGGAAACCAAAGCUUUUGGGUUCCGGGGGAAGUAUGGUUGCAAAGCUGAAACUUAAAGGAAUUGACGGAAGGGCACCACCAGGAGUGGAGCCUGCGGCUUAAUUUGACCCAACACGGGAAACCUCACCAGGCCAGGACAUUGGAAGGAUUGACAGAUUGAUAGCUCUUUCUUGAUUCAGUGGGUAGUGGUGCAUGGCCGUUCUUAGUUGGUGGAUCGAUUUGUCUGGUUAAUUCCGAUAACGAACGAGACUCUAGCCUAUUAACUAGACGAUAUCGGUAUCAAUGCUACCGACGACACUUAUUCUUCUUAAAGGGACAGGCGGCUUACAGCCGCACGAGAUUGAGCAAUAACAGGUCUGUGAUGCCCUUAGAUGUCCUGGGCCGCACGCGCGCUACACUGAAGGAAUCAGCGUGUACUUCCCUGGCCGAAAGGCCCGGGUAACCCGCUGAACCUCCUUCGUGCUAGGAAUUGGGGCUUGCAAUUGUUCCCCAUGAACGAGGAAUUCCCAGUAAGCGCGAGUCAUAAGCUCGCGUUGAUUACGUCCCUGCCCUUUGUACACACCGCCCGUCGCUACUACCGAUUGAAUGAUUUAGUGAGGUCUUCGGACUGGCGGUUAAUCUUUACCAACUUGUUGGUAUUGAUGUACGCUGGAAAGAUGACCAAACUUGAUCAUUUAGAGGAAGUAAAAGUCGUAACAAGGUUUCCGUAGGUGAACCUGCGGAAG